rnacentral:rRNA from 1 species
UAAGGAAUAUUGGUCAAUGGACGCAAGUCUGAACCAGCCAUGCCGCGUGAAGGAUGAAGGUCCUCUGGAUUGUAAACUUCUUUUAUCUGGGACGAAAACGGGAUUUUUAUCUCAAUUGACGGUACCAGAGGAAUAAGCACCGGCUAACUCCGUGCCAGCAGCCGCGGUAAUACGGAGGGUGCGAGCGUUAUCCGGAUUUACUGGGUUUAAAGGGUGCGUAGGUGGGCUUAUAAGUCAGUGGUGAAAUCUCCGAGCUUAACUUGGAAACUGCCGUUGAUACUAUAGGUCUUGAAUUAUCUGGAGGUAAGCGGAAUAUGUCAUGUAGCGGUGAAAUGCUUAGAUAUGACAUAUAACACCAAUUGCGAAGGCAGCUUACUACAUAUAAAUUGACGCUGAGGCACGAAAGCGUGGGGAUCAAACA